rnacentral:rRNA from 1 species
CAAUAGCGUAUAUUAAAGCUGUUGCGGUUAAAAAGCUCGUAGUUGGAUUUCUGUCAAGGACAACUGGUCCGCCCUCCGGGUGAGCACAUAGUUUGGUCUUGGCAUCUUGCUGGGAACUGUUGCUGCGCUUGGUUGUGUGGUGCAGCUUUCAGCACUUUCACUUUGAGGAAAUUGGAGUGUUUCAAGCAGGCACAUGCCUUUGGACACAGUAGCAUGGAAUAAUUAGAUUGGGCUUUUGCUCCAACUUGUUGGUUCCUGGAGCUGAGGUGAGAAUCAAUGGGGAUUGUUGGGGGCAUCCGAAUUUAGCCGUCAGAGGUGAAAUUCUUGGAUCUGCUAAAGACGGACAACUGCGAAAGCGUUUGCCCAGGAUGUUUUCAUUGA